UUACGGGAGGCAGCAGUGGGGAAUUUUGGACAAUGGGGGAAACCCUGAUCCAGCAAUGCCGCGUGUGUGAAGAAGGCCUUCGGGUUGUAAAGCACUUUUGUCAGGAACGAAACGGCGAGGGCUAAUAUCCCUUGCUAAUGACGGUACCUGAAGAAUAAGCACCGGCUAACUACGUGCCAGCAGCCGCGGUAAUACGUAGGGUGCAAGCGUUAAUCGGAAUUACUGGGCGUAAAGCGUGCGCAGGCGGUUGUGCAAGACAGAUGUGAAAUCCCCGGGCUUAACCUGGGAAUGGCAUUUGUGACUGCACGGCUAGAGUGUGUCAGAGGGGGGUAGAAUUCCACGUGUAGCAGUGAAAUGCGUAGAUAUGUGGAGGAAUACCGAUGGCGAAGGCAGCCCCCUGGGAUAACACUGACGCUCAUGCACGAAAGCGUGGGGAGCAAACAGGAUUAGAUACCCCGGUAG
rnacentral:rRNA from 1 species